UAACGUCGUGAAAUAACGUUGUCACAACGUUAUUAUAACGUCAACGUGCAACGUUAUUUCACAACGUUAUAACAACGUUGCACAUUCACGUUGUGAAAACGUUGUGCAUCGGACAUCGCACAACGUUUUGUAACUACGUUUCUGAAACGUCGGUGAAACGUUAUAAAGUUUGCUUCUUGAUAGUCAUAAAGGAAUAGAACUGAUUUAUCAAAAUCAACAUGAAUUUGUCAGAAUACCAAGGCAGUAAUGCAUUACCUUUCUGUAUAUUCGGCAUUUGAAUUUUUAUCUCUUAAUACUAAAAUUUCCAGAACGUAAUUGCGUAUCUCUAUUACAACGUUAGUAUUACGUUACAUUGUAACGUUAUUCCACAACGUAACAACAACGUUGCAAAUUAACGUUGUGAUAACGUUAUGCUUUGGACAUUACAACACUUUUUGUAAAUGAUGUUUAGGAAACCACUUGUAGAUCUACCAUCUCGUAGUUUUAUUUUUUUUAAACAUAUAUAUCUAUGAACGAAGUUAUCUGUCUACUAAAUGUUGUCUAAAGCAAAAUUACAGUUAAAAACACAUUGGCGCGCAUUUUUUGCGGCGUGAGAGCGACUGCUGAAAAGUUUAGCCUGUUACCUCGUGAAGUGACGUCAAAAUGACGUCACAUUGUCGCGGAAGAUUUGUUGUCACCAGCCAUCUUAGUUCAAACUCACUCUGGAUAUAUUACAACCAAGUGAUUGUGCAGCAACGGGAACUGGACAGAUGAUCUGUGAAUUCGGAUAAGCAAGGGGGAAAAUGUUACACGACCAUUCCAGGAGAUAAAAUCAAGAAUGUUGAAUCAUUUAGGAACACACCAAAUAAACCCUGGUCUGUGAAUUAUGUUAACGGAAGUGGAAGUGAACACCAAAGAAAGAAGAUUCUGGCAUUCAAUAAUUUCGAAAAGUGUAUACAUUUUCUAUAAUCUAAAAAUAAUAAAAUGUCAACGCAAA